GCCUACAAGGACAGUGACAUCACAAUGGUGACAUCACAGGCAAGCCCUCCAAUUAGAGCAAAGGGAGGCGCACAACUUCUGUUCUCACCAGAAAGACCAGAGCCCCGCAUAAGGAGAUGGCCAGCCUUACCCUGUCUGCAUCUGCCAGGGGCACCCGGCUCCUCUGCUGCGUGGCCCUCUGUCUCCUGGAGGCAGGUUCAGUGGAUGUUGGAGUCACCCAGUCCCCAAGACACCUCAUCAAACGCCGUGAGGGGAAGGCCGUUCUGACAUGCCACCCCAUGUCUGGACACAAUACUGUGUCCUGGUACCAGCAGGCUCAGGGGCAGGGCCCCCAGUUCCUCAUUCAGUAUUAUGAGAAGGAGGAGAGAGAGAAAGGAAACAUCCCUGAUCGCUUCUCAGCUCAACAGUUCAACAACUACAGCUCAGAGCUGACCAUGAACAACUUGCAGCUGGAAGACUCAGCUGUGUAUCUCUGUGCCAGCAGCUUAGACACAGCCCUGCAGGGUUAAUGCCUUUCUGUACUCAAACCUUCCUG